CCCUUAGAUGUUCUGGGCCGCACGCGCGCUACACUGAUGCAUUCAACGAGUCUAAAACCUGCUCUGAUAGGGGUGGGUAAUCUUUUGAAUGUGCAUCGUGAUUGGGAUAGAUGAUUGCAGUUUUUCAUCUUCAACGAGGAAUGCCUAGUAAACGCAAGUCAUCAGCUUGCAUUGAUUACGUCCCUGCCCUUCGUACACACCGCCCGUCGCUCCUACCGAUUGAAUGAUCCGAUGAAUAUCAUGGAUUGAGGAUGCAAGUAGGUUAGCCUAUCUUCAUCUUCGAGAAGUGAAGUAAAUCUUAUCAUUUAGAGGAAGGAGAAGUCGUAACA
rnacentral:rRNA from 1 species